rnacentral:rRNA from 1 species
GUUAUACAUGUAAUACUAUAAAAAAUUUUUGGUAGUAAUUAGUAAUUUAUUAUUUGAAUUUUAAUAAGAUUUUAUUAGGUGAAAUUUUAAAAUUUUUAAAAAUUUUUGUUUAUAUUAUGAGAUUAAUAAACUAUAAAAUUAAACUAGGAUUAGAUACCCUAUUAUUUUUAGUGUAAAUUUAGUAUGCCAGAUUAGUAUUAGUUAUGAUCUUGAAAAUUAAAGAAGAUGGCGGUAUUUUAGUCUAUUCAGAGGAACCUGUCCUAUAAUUGAUAGUCCACGAUUUAAGAUACUUAUUUUAGUUUACAUAUCGCCGUAGUUUGAAUAUUUUUAUAAAAAUUUAAUGUUCAAGAAUUUUUAUAAAAAAUAAAUCAGGUCAAGGUGUAGCUUAUAAAUAAGAAGAGAUGGGUUACAAUAAAUUUAUUUAAACGGAUUAAAAUUUGAAAAUUUUUAUGAAGGUGGAUUUGAGGGUAAUUUUAUUCUAAAUUAUUAAAAUGAUUUUAGCUCUAGAAUAUGUACAUAU